GUAACCUGCCUUAUAGUGGGGGAUAGCCUUUCGAAAGGAAGAUUAAUACCGCAUAAGAUUGUAGUAUCGCAUGAUAUAGCAAUUAGAGGAGCAAUUCGCUAUAAGAUGGACCCGCGUCGCAUUAGCUAGUUGGUGAGGUAAUGGCUCACCAAGGCGACGAUGCGUAGCCGACCUGAGAGGGUGAUCGGCCACAUUGGGACUGAGACACGGCCCAGACUCCUACGGGAGGCAGCAUG
rnacentral:rRNA from 1 species